rnacentral:rRNA from 1 species
GACGAACGCUGGCGGCGUGCUUAACACAUGCAAGUCGAACGGUAAGGCCCUUUCGGGGGUACACGAGUGGCGAACGGGUGAGUAACACGUGGGUAAUCUGCCCUGCACUUCGGGAUAAGCUUGGGAAACUGGGUCUAAUACCGGAUAUGAGCUCUCGCCGCAUGGUGGGGGUUGGAAAGUUUUUCGGUGCAGGAUGAGCCCGCGGCCUAUCAGCUUGUUGGUGGGGUAAUGGCCUACCAAGGCGACGACGGGUAGCCGGCCUGAGAGGGUGAUCGGCCACACUGGGACUGAGACACGGCCCAGACUCCUACGGGAGGCAGCAGCGGGGAAUAUUGCACAAUGGGCGGAAGCCUGAUGCAGCGACGCCGCGCGGGGGAUGACGGUCUUCGGAUUGUAAACCCCUUUCAGUAGGGACGAAGCGCAAGUGACGGUACCUGCAGAAGAAGCACCGGCCAACUACGUGCCAGCAGCCGCCGUAAUAC